UCGCUCAACGGAUAAAAGGUACUCCGGGGAUAACAGGCUGAUACCGCCCAAGAGUUCAUAUCGACGGCGGUGUUUGGCACCUCGAUGUCGGCUCAUCACAUCCUGGGGCUGAAGUAGGUCCCAAGGGUAUGGCUGUUCGCCAUUUAAAGUGGUACGCGAGCUGGGUUUAGAACGUCGUGAGACAGUUCGGUCCCUAUCUGCCGUGGGCGCUGGAGAACUGAGGGGGGCUGCUCCUAGUACGAGAGGACCGGAGUGGACGCAUCACUGGUGUUCGGGUUGUCAUGCCAAUGGCACUGCCCGGUAGCUAAAUGCGGAAGAGAUAAGUGCUGAAAGCAUCUAAGCACGAAACUUGCCCCGA
rnacentral:rRNA from 1 species